CUGGAGUAGGGAGUGGAUGAAAACUAUUUAGGGGGUUGUUACAGUAGUCCAGGCAAGAGAUGGUGAGGCCAGGUGGCUGGAAUGGUGAGAAGGAGGGUCAUGAAAGAGACGGUGGGAGCCCAGCCAUGCAGGCUUGGUGUGAUUAGAUAUGGCCAGUGAGGGCAAGGCGCUCACCAACUAUGACUGGGGAUCCCAGCAUGGGUGCUGGGUAACUGACAAUGAUGUGGUAACUGUGACAAGAUCACGGGAGGAGUAGGGUGAGGACUGGGAGCAAGAUGAGGGAGGGAGCUCAUUUGCUUUUGGAUAAGCUGCGUUUGGCAUGUUUCUUUCUCGGCCUGGAGGAAAUGUCAAGAGCAGUGUUUCUCAAUCUUCUUUUCAUUAUCAACCCUUAAGGAGCCUUUUGAGAUAUUUGUUUCCUAAUCAUCCUGCCCACAUGAAAUUUUAAUCCCACAGCUAUACUGUAAAUCUCUUUACAUACUGUAUCUGGAUCUAUACUUCAGACAUCAAAAGAGUAGGAUUUUUUGCUCCCCAAGAACCCAUUUUUGUCCCCUUGAGAAUGGCCAGGAGGAGAGGGAGGGAGGUGGGCUGAACUAUUCCGUGUACAGGGAGUGAGGAAGGCUUCAUGCGAAGGAGCAUCUGCAAUGGGCUUUGGAGAUUGGGUUAAAAAUAGUUUUUCAAUUUAGAUUUCUAUUGAGAUUUAAUUGACCUAUAACACUGUGUAAGUUCAAGGUGUACACCAUGUUGAUUUGAUACACUUAUGUAUUGUAGUAUGAUUACUACCAUGGUGUUAGCUAACACCUCCAUCAUGUCACGUAAUUAGCAUUUCUCUUUUUUUUGGUGAGAGCACAAGAUCCACUCUCUCAGCAACUUUCAAGUAUGUCAUACAGUAUUAUCGGCUAUAAUCACCAGGCUGUGCAUUAGAUCCCCAGAACUGAUUUAUCUUAUAACUGGAACUUUGUGCCCUUGACCAACACUGCCCCUUUUCCCCGCCCCCAGCCCCUGGUAACCACCAUUCCACUCUCUGUUUGUAUGAGUUUGGAUUUCUUAGAUUCCACAUGUCAGUGAGAUCAUACAGUAUUUCUCUUUCUGUGUCUGACCUAUCUCACUCACAUAGAGAAGAUGCAGUGUAUAUACAUAUACACACACAUGUGCACUCCCACACACACACACAACAGCCUAUUAUUCAGCCAUGAGAAAGAAAGAAAUCCUGCCAUUCGUGACAACGUGGAUGGAUCUUGAGGGUGUUACACUAAAAACAGUUUUUCAGUUGAGGUGAAAUUCACAGGAAGAAGUUGGUUUGGAGUGACAGAUAUGGGAGCAAUCCAAACGACAAUGAAACCCCAGGAGCUGGUGAGAGUGCCAGGAGAACGGGCCCACAAAAGGAAGAGAGAGAAUGGAGGGCACAGCUCUUGAGGCCUCCAGAACUCCACGUCAGCAAGACAGCAAGGGCCCCCCGGAGGAAACGGGCUUCGAGAUGACAGGUCACACGGUGCAGCGAGGAGCGCGUGAGAGAGAGGGCCAGGGGAUGGCCGCGCGCUUCUGGAGAGGCCAGACAGAAGAGUGGGAAAAGUGCGCGUAAACUUGGCAAAUCCAAGCCCGUUAAUGACCCUCUAGGGCGUGGUUUGAGCAGAAAUCUUUAACCUCCUUCUUCAAUCUGAGUUAAAGACUAAGACGUGGAAUAUAAGAAAGCAUGAAGAAGCUUCCAGAAUGGGAUAACUUCUGUGAAAAGCAGGAUCCUGUUGGAAUGGUCACCAACACAUCUGAAGGUAGAGAUUCAGAGGACAGCCCUCCAAAUAAAGAGUCUUGUGCUUGUUUAAUGAAACAUCAAAGAAGCACCUGGAGAGACCACAGGAUCAUGAAAACGCACGUGAGCAGUGUUCCUGCUGGCUCAGAAGGUGUGUGAUGGCACCAGACAGACUCUGACUCCCUGCCACCAGAAACAGAGUAAAUUCAUCUCUACCCUGCGCACGGAGAAGCUGUUCCUCCUCGUAGGAGUUCACAGUGAGCCUCCGAGCAGUGGGGAUAGCACCCCGUGGCAAUCAGUGUCGACGGGUCUGGAGCAGGCCUUACACCGCUGAGAUGGCUUCUCUUCCUUUCGUCUCUAAACUGCUUCUCCCCCCAGAUUUCUUUUUGCUCUUAUCCUUUGGCAAAAAGUGUGCAUCUACCCUUCGUAGCAAACUGAGCAGAUUCCACUGUAUGUUCUUCAGGGGCAAAUUAGGACUCAGAGCUCCACAUUCUCCAGAAGCGAUAAAGGCCAUGUCACUUAAUCCCUUUGCUGGGUCUUGACCAGCCUUGGGAGGGCAGCUUCAAAGACCGAAGUGGUGCAGAGCCCUGGCCCGACUGGAUCCCGUCCCCUUAUGUUUCCAUGCUUCCCCGCUUUUGAUGAUGCUACUGCGCUGGGAGCAGGAACUGAAGGCGGGUGCUCUGACACUCAGAGACACAUCUCUCAACACAAGAAGUAGGAGAAAGGGUUCAAUCGUCUUAGCAGGAACUGGAGAUGUGUGCACAAGAUGCACUGCUCAGCGUGUCUGGGAGCCCCAGAGCUGCCGCAAGAGGAUAGGCAGCCCACGGAUGGAGAAAUGGUAUGUGCCAGGUCCCACGGACAGCUUUACAGGAACUCUCUCAUUUAAUCCUCACAGGACCCCAUGAGUAAGAUUUUAAGGAGAAGAGACCGUGGGCCUGUAAAUGCAAGUAGCUGCCAUUUAUGGAGCAUUCGUCUGCUCUUUGAAUUCCCGCGAGAACCAGCGCCCACGCACGAGUAGCGGUGGAGUUUGGUUGGACAAAUGACUUUCCUGUCCUCUGCGUCCUCAUCCAUGCCUAGAGGGGAAUGAUGGCCUAAUGCUGGCAGAGGAUUCCAUAGUUUCUUAACUCAUCCUGCUAACACAGUCUAGCACCUUCCAAGGAGUACAGGAUGUGGAGAUAUUUAACAACUAUUGUACUUGUUCUCAGAUUUGGGGGCCUCAGCUGAAACUCUGAAUCAACAGGAAAAGUCACAUCUUAACAUAGUAUUAUGUAUAUGUCAUAGGCUCUUACUAGUAGUUCUUCGGUGUAUUAUGAUUUAAAUCAUGUUCCUUGACAAAAUAAAUUUGGAAAACACUGCUCUAUUGUUUUGCUUUUAAGUAUGAUGUAAGCUAUUGGUUUGGGAUAACUUUUUAAUCUUGUUAAGGGAGUAUUCUAUAUGCAAUUUAUUUAACUUUUUAUCAGAAAUGGAUAUUAAAUUUUGUUAAAUGCCUUUGACAUUUGUCAAGAUGAACAUAAAGUUUGUCUCUUUUGACCCAUUGAUGUGAUCAAUGAUAUUUUUAGAUUUCCCAAUAUUGAAU
rnacentral:lncRNA from 1 species